AGCUUUGCGCAGUGGCAGUAUCGUAGCCAAUGAGGUUUAUCCGAGGCGCGAUUAUUGCUAAUUGAAAACUUUUCCCAAUACCCCGCCGUGACGACUUGAAAAUACAGGAGAAAGUGUG
rnacentral:snRNA from 1 species